rnacentral:rRNA from 1 species
GUGGGGAAUAUUGGUCAAUGGGCGUAAGCCUGAACCAGCCAAGUAGCGUGCAGGAUGACGGCCCUAUGGGUUGUAAACUGCUUUUAUACGGGGAUAAAGUGAGGGACGUGUCCCUUAUUGUAGGUACCGUAUGAAUAAGGACCGGCUAAUUCCGUGCCAGCAGCCGCGGUAAUACGGAAGGUCCGGGCGUUAUCCGGAUUUAUUGGGUUUAAAGGGAGCGCAGGCCGGAGGUCAAGCGUGACGUGAAAUGUAGCCGCUCAACGGCUGAGUUGCGUCGCGAACUGGCUUUCUUGAGUGAGUACGACGUCAGCGGAAUUCGUGGUGUAGCGGUGAAAUGCUUAGAUAUCACGAAGAACCCCGAUUGCGAAGGCAGCUGACGAGUCCUUUACUGACGCUAAAGCUCGAAGGUGCGGGUAUCGAACAGG